rnacentral:lncRNA from 1 species
CUUAAAAUAUAUUUCUCGCACAAUUCUGGACAUCGGUGGACAUGCAACAUUGCAAAACCACAUUUACAAAUGAAAAUCAACGCUCAGACUAUAGUCAUAAAGUAGGACAAUAAAUGAACAAAAGACAAGCCCGGAACACAGAAGUUCAAACAAUAGACCAUCAACUCUGAAAACUAAACGGAAAAUAGAAACAUGGAUAACGAAAAAAAAAAAAUUCAGGGGAUACACCAAAGAGUGAAAAGAACUUGCUUCUUGCAAGACUUUCCGUGAAAACAAUUUGAUAUGAAAACAACCUUUUCUUUCAUUUUUUUUUUAAAUUUUUUACACGAGGCAUUUGCCUCAUUUGCCUCAAUGUAGUUACGGCCCUG